GUGUUCGCUUCAGCAGCACAUAUUCUAAAAUUGGAACCAUACAGAGAAGAUUAACAUGGCCCCUGCACAAGGAUGACUCACAAAUUCGUAAAGCGUUCCACAGGUUU